AUGGGGGCUUAACAUGCNAGUCGAGCGACNAACCAGCCCUUCGGGGCUGGGGAAAGCGGCGAACGGGUGAGUAACACGUGGGCAACCUGCCCUUGGCACCGGGAUAACUCCGGGAAACCGGAGCUAAUACCGGAUGGCCUCCAGAGCCCUCGGGCUCCGGAGAAAAGGUAGCUUCGGCCUCCGGCCAAGGAUGGGCCCGCGGCGGAUUAGCUUGUUGGCGAGGUAACGGCUCACCAAGGCGACGAUCCGUAGCUGGUCUGAGAGGAUGGCCAGUCACACUGGGACUGAGACACGGCCCAGACUCCUACGGGAGGCAGCAGUGGGGAAUCUUGCGCAAUGGGCGAAAGCCUGACGCAGCGACGCCGCGUGCGGGAAGAAGGCCUUCGGGUUGUAAACCGCUUUCAGGAGGGACGAAGCCACUCGGGUUAAUAGCCCAGAGGGUGACGGUACCUCCAGAAGAAGCCCCGGCUAACUACGUGCCAGCAGCCGCGGUAAUACGUAGGGGGCAAGCGUUGUCCGGAUUUAUUGGGCGUAAAGCGCGUGUAGGCGGCCAGGUAGGUCCGAUGUGAAAACUCGAGGCUCAACCUCGAGAGGUCAUCGGAAACCACUUGGCUAGAGUCCGGAAGAGGAGAGUGGAAUUCCCGGUGUAGCGGUGAAAUGCGCAGAUAUCGGGAAGAACACCCAUGGCGAAGGCAGCUCUCUGGGACGGUACUGACGCUGAGACGCGAAAGCGUGGGGAGCGAACAGGAUUAGAUACCCUGGUAGUCCACGCCGUAAACGAUGGGUGCUAGGUGUGGGCGGUGUCGACUCCGUCCGUGCCGAAGCUAACGCAUUAAGCACCCCGCCUGGGGAGUACGGCCGCAAGGCUNAAACUCAAGGAAUUGACGGGGGCCCGCACAAGCAGCGGA
rnacentral:rRNA from 1 species